rnacentral:tRNA from 1 species
GCGCCAGUAGCUCAGCUGGAUAGAGCAACGGCCUUCUAAGCCGUAGGUCGCAGGUUCGAACCCUGCCUGGCGCG